AGCCACAACCAUGAAAAUGGCGCGAAUGAAAUUUUGUGCUUGGAUUCGGCAUCUGAAGUUGUGAAUUUGAUAGCUAGGUCGGAAACGCGCUACUAUUAUAAGUUCACUGUCUCCAUCGGAGAGACCCAGCAAGCAAAGAGAUCACAGAGCAGUACACCGCCGGUCGCUCUCCUUGUCCCCGGAUGCAGCCGAGCAGCCGGCGACCCGUCCGGCACGGCGCCGACCCCGGGAGCCCAUUGGUUCUUGACCGGGCUUGCUCAUCCUACAGAAUCACGCACGCCAUGCUCUCCUGCUUCUGUGAUAGUACAAGCAUAUUCUGCAAUUGGAUCGGAUCCCUGCUAUAAAUAAAGCCGAGGCCUCUGCACGCACGCACACCGCGAUCGAUGAUCACACGCAAAUGAACAGCAGCGUCUAGCGGUAGAUAGUCUUCUCGCCUCUCCGCCCUUGGCACUACUUCCGGUGUGGGGUGUGGUUGUCGUCGGCGGUGUCCGCCACGGAUGAUGUCUUGCUUUCAGUUUCAGGGGGCCAAGGUCGUCGCCGUUGACGAGGAGCGAGAAGAGCCAGCAGCAGCAGCGACGGCGGCGGGGACACGCCGGCUCAUGAAGUUGAAGGUGAUCUUGAUGGGCCUGGUCCAUACGGCCCGGAAGACGUUCGAGCGCUCGAUUCCGGCUGUCAGGACCGGAGGGAGUACAUCAGAUGAAGUUACAGGCGUGCUGUUCUGCUCAGAGCUCAGUGGGACGCCGAUGAUUCUGUUUUGCUCCAGUAACUCGUACAGUCGUAUGAUUUCACAUAGAUUGUACAGUUCGGUUGUUUCGACUAGACAAUCUGAUUCGCUUGUGUUUAUCGCGAAACAUCGCUAGGCAUACUGGAGUAGUUCGCAUCUCAUGCUCCAAAUGUUCAGUUAACUGGACUACAUGGUGUGGGUUCAUUUGCCUGUCUAUUCCUGAAUCUCCUGUACUUGUACUUUUCA